rnacentral:rRNA from 1 species
GCCUACGGGGCGCAGCAGUGAGGAAUAUUGGUCAAUGGCCGAGAGGCUGAACCAGCCAAGUCGCGUGAGGGAAGAAUGUCCUAAGGAUUGUAAACCUCUUUUGCCGGGGGACAAAAGGCCGGACGGGUCCGGUUCUGAGGGUACCCGGAGAAAAAGCAUCGGCUAACUCCGUGCCAGCAGCCGCGGUAAUACGGAGGAUGCGAGCGUUAUCCGGAUUCAUUGGGUUUAAAGGGUGCGCAGGCGGGCCUUUAAGCCGGCGGUGAAAUCGCGGGGCUCAACCCCGCC